rnacentral:rRNA from 1 species
AUUGAACGCUGGCGGCAGGCUUAACACAUGCAAGUCGAGCGGGGAAGGGUGGCUUGCUACCUGACCUAGCGGCGGACGGGUGAGUAAUGCUUAGGAAUCUGCCUAUUAGUGGGGGACAACAUUCCGAAAGGAAUGCUAAUACCGCAUACGCCCUACGGGGGAAAGCAGGGGAUCUUCGGACCUUGCGCUAAUAGAUGAGCCUAAGUCAGAUUAGCUAGUUGGUGGGGUAAAGGCCUACCAAGGCGACGAUCUGUAGCGGGUCUGAGAGGAUGAUCCGCCACACUGGGACUGAGACACGGCCCAGACUCCUACGGGAGGCAGCAGUGGGGAAUAUUGGACAAUGGGCGAAAGCCUGAUCCAGCCAUGCCGCGUGUGAAGAAGGCCUUUUGGUUGUAAAGCACUUUAAGCGAGGAGGAGGCUGCCGAGAUUAAUACUCUUGGAUAGUGGACGUUACUCGCAGAAUAAGCACCGGCUAACUCUGUGCCAGCAGCCGCGGUAAUACAGAGGGUGCGAGCGUUAAUCGGAUUUACUGGGCGUAAAGCGUGCGUAGGCGGCUUUUUAAGUCGGAUGUGAAAUCCCUGAGCUUAACUUAGGAAUUGCAUUCGAUACUGGGAAGCUAGAG